UUAGGAAUUUUGCACAAUGGGGGAAACCCUGAUGCAGCAACGCCGCGUGGAUGAAGAAGGCCUUCGGGUCGUAAAAUCCUUUUCAACGGGAAGAAACGGACGGUACCGUUGGAAUAAGCAUCGGCUAACUACGUGCCAGCAGCCGCGGUAAUACGUAGGAUGCAAGCGUUAUCCGGAUUUACUGGGCGUAAAGAGCGCGUAGGUGGUUUCGUAAGUUGGGCGUGAAAGCCCCCGGCUUAACUGGGGAGGGUCGCUCAAAACUACGAGACUUGAGGGUGGAAGAGGAGACUGGAAUUCCCGGUGUAGUGGUGAAAUGCGUAGAUAUCGGGAGGAACACCUGUGGUGAAGACGGGUCUCUGGGCCACUCCUGACACUGAGGCGCGAAAGCGUGGGGAGCGAACGG
rnacentral:rRNA from 1 species